rnacentral:pre_miRNA from 1 species
UAUGUACUCCCUCCGUCCCAAAAUAAGUGUCUCAAGCUUAGUAUAACUUUGUACUAAAGCUAGUACAAAGUUGAGACACUUAUUUUGGGACGGAGGGAGUAGUAC